CCGGUACCACCAUGUGGGUGGGGUAUCGCUCAACGGAUAAAAGUUACGCCGGGGAUAACAGGCUAGUCGCUUCCAAGAGUUCACAUCGACGAAGCGGUUCGGCACCUCGAUGUCGGCUCGUCGCAUCCUGGGGGUGGAGCAUCUCCCAAGGGUAUGGCUGUUCGCCAUUUAAAGCGGUACGCGAGCUGGGUUCAGAACGUCGUGAGACAGUUCGGCCCCUAUCCGCCAUAAUUGUAGGAAAAUUGAGAGAAGUUGCCCCUAGUACGAGAGGACCGGGGUGAACGAACCUCUGGUGUAUCAGUUGUCGUGUCAACGGCAUUGCUGAGUAGCUAUGUUCGGUCUGGAUAACCGCUGAAAGCAUCUAAGCGGGAAGCCAACCUCAAGAAAAUUUUCCCUAUGAACCUCCCUGAAGACUACAGGGUUGAUAGGCCACAGGUAUAAGUACAGCGAUGUGCUCAGCCGAGUGGUACUAAUAGGUCAUUGAUGUUUUUGU
rnacentral:rRNA from 1 species